UAUGAAUCUAUGAAUUCCAAUAGUGGGCUAAUGGUGGCUGCCCAAUGCUGUGCGGGGCAUGCAUUUAGUUGGAAAAGGAAUUAAGUGAAUCUUUCCGUUUGCCAGGGUCUGGCUAUAUUGGAGGUUGUAAAAGUCUGUGUGUAUAGGCCAAUUUUACCAGUCCCAUUUUCCUUUUACUCACUAGUGUGGUGUUGGUAAUGCUGAGCUUGUGUCAGGCUUCGGACUUUGCACACUAACUAUGCCCACCACAGGUGAGUACAAGGUCUAGUUUACAGAGGAUUACAUUGAUGCACAAACAAAUCAAGUGACCAGGUCAUGGUCAUACAGCAAAUCGAAGGGGAGCCAGGCGUCUGACUCCUGCUCUCUACAACAAUGUUUCCUAAUAGCUGGUGAACCACUGUCUACCUGGCUGUGGCUAGUCAUAGACUCCCUGUCUCUACAGAAAGGUAGCCAGGGUGCUGUGGAGAGUUAGCAGAAAAUGAUCCCGCUUUCAUUGCAGGACUAUCUUACGGUCAAAAGGUGUAAACGGUUAUUAAUAAGGACAGUGAUACCAGAAUGGUUUCCAGCAAGUUUUCCUAAUACUACCAAUUAACAGCAAGUAAGAUUUUUCCCAACAGAAUAUUAAUUCCUUAUUAAUUCAUGAUAUAUCUGCUUAUUAGUUCCUAGUUGUAUGUGCAUUAUAGCCUUUUAAAAACAUUGCGGAUCAGAUAGGGUGUGUGUGUGUGUUUUGGGGGAGGGUCUGCAUUUUUCCUCUCCCCCAGCAGAGAAUUUCAAGUUUCAGACAAACAACUUCAUUUACAAGUAUGUCUCUAAUUAGCUGCAGAAUUAGUAAAGCGGAGUUUUCCCCCCAUAGAUCAGCUAAACCCCCGAGGGAGACUGUGGAAUAGAGAGAAUCACAUUUCCAAUUAUUUUGUUGAAUUGCUAAUUUAGUUAUUGUGCCUGGCGUAAUUGUGAUGGGUAUUGGGUGUGCAAUUCAAUUUGUUUUAAAUAUUUGUGGGAAGGCUGAUCAGUAAUGGAGCUGACCUAUUUCGUGGCCCAAAUUGAGAGAAGAGACUAAAACAAAAACAGCUACAAAGCGACAGUUUGUUUCAGUUUUUAUUUUGAUCUCUCUCAUCCCUCUUGAGACUGUUGAUGCAACAAAAGGUUUAAAUUAAAAGAUGAUAGCACUUUGAUCUUGGGCUUUUGAAAGCUUACAGCUUUGGUACUUUUCUUGGCAUUUUAAUAUGUAGAUAUUUUAGGCUAAAGAGUUUUAAAUGCAUUUCUGGAGUUCAGUAGGUUUUUUCCCCUCUAAAUUGUAUUAUGUUUAAGGUGAUUCAUGUCUUUAACCCUCAGGAUUCUGGUUCAAGAAAUGCGUGAAAAUAACUGGAACUGCUGGGUUUUAUGUUUGCUGGCUUGAUACAAUUUAGUUUGAAAUUGUGUUAAAUACUUAGCAUUAAUUAGAGGUGGAGAUUUUUAAAAACCUGUGUGGGGUGAAGUCUGUAUUGGAUUUAUGUUUGUAACUCAGCUGGCAGGGGAAACAUUUAAAUUAGCUAUACCUGCAAUUCAAUUUCAGAAGCUCUGGGUGGGAGUUUCUAUGAAUGCAUAUCUAGUAUAGGAGUUGGUUCAGGGUUCAUAGUCAAACUUUUCAUGGGUCUGUAUAGUGGGUGUACACCACUCACGGCAUUCUCUCUAUCUGCAGUGAGAACAGACACGUGGACUUGACGGUUCUGCCCUUAGUUUGCCAAUACAGAACUCAGAUUUUCCUGCAUCCACGUUUUAGUAGUUUGAUAUCAUGGGAACGAUAGAGGCGACAAAUUAAGCCUCUGGCUUCACGGCGUAAGAAGUUACAAAGGGGAUGAAAUGAAGAAAAGGACUGGCAACUUAUGAGAACAGGAUACUACUUCAUUUCUGCCCUGUCUGAGACCAUGAAAGCCUGCAGUAUAGCUCCUGGAAUGAAAAUACUGAAAUAACAGGUACUAAAUAAACAACCAAGACUGAUGUGUAAUGAAACUUGCGACCAUCAGAUAGGAGAGAAGGAUUAGCUCCUUCCCAGCGCAACAGAGCCAUGAACGAAUACUGUUUUCCCAUUUCUUUGUAGUAUCUUCCCAUGUGCGUUUAACAAACUCCUGACCAGCCAGCACGCCCCGGGCACAUUUGUCUACUGAAACAAGACCACCAUCACCAGACUGGGGGGUGUGGGAGAAGGGCAUAGUGUAAGAAAGCCCCUACUUUGCUGCUCUAAGACCUCAUGGUACCACGGUACCCUUCAUUGCUUUUUCCUGCUGUUUUCAGAGGGCAGCCACACAGCUAGCUGAUGCAUUGGUCCAGUCACUCUUUGUUAAAUAAAUAAGGUACAGUUAGACAUCCAUAAGUUAAUUCCUCAGCAGUUUGUUUUCCUUAUGUCUUUGGGGCCAGAGAGCGUGUUCCCUCGGGUCAGUCUGAUUUUAAAAAUUAAAAAUACCAUUCUUCCUUUUGCUUCCUCUUCUCAAUACAGUGUUCACCACUGAGCAGACAAAGGGCAACUCUGAGCCUUUUGUCACAGGAAAAGGAAGUGGGCGGGAAACAGAUCCUCUUAUGUUGAAGGAGGUGAGUCCAUUGUUGAAAGAAUACGCACUAUCUCAGCUCGCUGGGUAGGGGAUAUAUGCUGGGUCAUGUGGACGAUGGAAUCCAUGGCAACCUCAGGAUUGGCCUGCACCAAGCUGCAAAGACAAGAGGCUUAGCAACAGCACCCAACUGCUGGUCCAACUUGGCAGAGAAAUUUAGCAAGUGGAGUACAGCCCAGUCUGCAAACUCUAAGCCUGAACAUUUUCACCCGAUCUCAUUCCCUGCUCUAAAGGGUUAUUGAAAUAGAGGAUCUUUAAAAGUGUCUGGACAAGCCAGCAAGAGGUUUAUGAUGAACUGAGCUCAAGCAGAUCUUAGAUUAACGAAGAAGACAGAGUCUCAGCACCAAGCAAUGCACAGUUUAUCACAAGGGAGUUCAGAUAUAUGUGAGUGCCAGAGGGGGUGGGAAUCUCACUGAAGCAUUUUGAAGAGGAAGAGUGUCCUAAGAAUAAACUCAGGGCAGCGUCAAGGACUGUGAUGGGUAGAAAGAGGUGGCGGCGAACAUUGCGCUCCCUGAUCCAGAAGGCUGCUUGCCUCCCUAUCACAGUCCUUUCCUGUGCACUCACUGGGUGGUUGUUACCUCACAUUCCCCUCUAACUCUAGGUUUGGGGCAAGGCUGCCAGCCUCUGGAGGCUUUCCAGUCUGUAAUAAAGUUGCACUUUGGUACCUAA